rnacentral:rRNA from 1 species
UACGUAGGGUGCGAGCGUUGCCCGGAUUUAUUGGGCGUAAAGGGUGCGUAGGCGGGUCUUUAAGUCAGGGGUGAAAUCCUGGAGCUCAACUCCAGAACUGCCUUUGAUACUGAAGAUCUUGAGUUCGGGAGAGGUGAGUGGAACUGCGAGUGUAGAGGUGAAAUUCGUAGAUAUUCGCAAGAACACCAGUGGCGAAGGCGGCUCACUGGCCCGAUACUGACGCUGAGGCACGAAAGCGUGGGGAGCAAACAGGG